rnacentral:rRNA from 1 species
GAUGAACGCUGGCGGCGUGCCUAAUACAUGCAAGUCGAGCGAACAGACGAGGAGUUUGCUCCUCUGACGUUAGCGGCGGAGGGGUGAGUAACACGUGGAUAACCUACCUAUAAGCCUGGGAUAACUUCGGGAAACCGGAGCUAAUACCGGAUAAUAUAUUGAACCGUAUGGUUCAAUAGUGAUAUACGGUUUUGCUGUCACUUAUAGAUGGAUCCGCGCCGCAUUAGCUAGUUGGUAAGGUAACGGCUUACCAAGGCAACGAUGCGUAGCCGACCUGAGAGGGUGAUCGGCCACACUGGAACUGAGACACGGUCCAGACUCCUACGAGAGGCAGCAGUAGGGAAUCUUCCAGAAUGGGCGAAUACCUGACGGAGCAACGCCGCGUGAGUGAGGAAGGUCUUCGGAUCGUAAAACUCUGUUAUUAGGGAAGAACAAAUGUGUAAGUAACUAUGCACGUCGUGACGGUACCUAAUCAGAAAGCCACGGCUAACUACGUG